AGGAGAGUAAGUUGUACCUGCUAUAACAGUUAUUGUCGAGAUAAUCCAGGGAGUAGUAUCAACAUUCUGAAAUGAAAAUAAAGAAGAAAUAUAAUCAAUGCACAGAACAUAUUUAUCAAAACAUAAAGCAAGGUACAAUUAUUAAGAAUCUACAUUAUAAAUUAUCUAAAGGUUAAACAAUUUCCCUUCCAUUAUACAUCCUCAUUAAAAGGGAAAAAGUUAAAGAGACAACAACC
rnacentral:lncRNA from 1 species